AUUGAACGCUGGCGGCAUGCCUUACACAUGCAAGUCGAACGGCAGCACGGGUGCUUGCACCUGGUGGCGAGUGGCGAACGGGUGAGUAAUACAUCGGAACAUGUCCUGUAGUGGGGGAUAGCCCGGCGAAAGCCGGAUUAAUACCGCAUACGAUCUACGGAUGAAAGCGGGGGACCUUCGGGCCUCGCGCUAUGGGGUUGGCCGAUGGCGGAUUAGCUCGUUGGUGGGGUAAAGGCCUACCAAGGCGACGAUCAGUAGCUGGUCUGAGAGGAGGACCAGCCACACUGGGACGGAGACACGGCCCAGACUCCUACGGGAGGCAGCAGUGGGGAAUUUUGGACAAUGGGCGAAAGCCUGAUCCAGCAAUGCCGCGUGUGUGAAGAAGGCCUUCGGGUUGUAAAGCACUUUUGUCCGGAAAGAAAUCCUUGGCCCUAAUACGGUCGGGGGAUGACGGUACCGGAAGAAUAAGCACCGGCUAACUACGUG
rnacentral:rRNA from 1 species